rnacentral:rRNA from 1 species
GGUUUUAUGGAAAAUAGCUGUUUUAAAAAAAUUAAUUGAAUUUAAGUCCUCCAUAAAAACUUGUAGGCGCACUUAAGGGACGAGAAGACCCUGUGGAUUUUUAUUUGUUAGAGAAUAAAUUUUAUAAUAUUUUAUUUUUUAUUCAAAUUUGGUUGGGAUGACAAAAAAAUUAACUUUAUUAAAAAAAAUAAUAUAGAUCCUUUUUAAGGAAAAAAGAAUAAAUUACCCCAGGGAUAACAGCGUAAUACU